UUACGGCCAUAUCACAUUGAAACACCAGUUCCUGUACGAUUACCGAUGUUAAUCGACGUUGAACCUCAUUAGUACCUAGAAGGGUGACCGCUUGGGAUUACCAGGUGCUGUAAG